GUGCUUGCUUUAGCAGCACAUAUACUAAAAUUGGAAUGAUAAAGAGAUUGGCAUGGCCACUGAGCAAGAUUAUUGUAGAUAUCUGAAGAAGCAUUAUCAAAUAAA